rnacentral:rRNA from 1 species
GAUGAACGCUGGCGGCGUGCCUAAUACAUGCAGGUCGAGCGAACGGACGAGAAGCUUGCUUCUCUGAUGUUAGCGGCGGACGGGUGAGUAACACGUGGAUAACCUACCUAUAAGACUGGGAUAACUUUGGGAAACCGGAGCUAAUACCGGAUAAUAUUUUGAACCGCAUGGUUCAAAAGUGAAAGACGGUCUUGCUGUCACUUAUAGAUGGAUCCGCGCUGCAUUAGCUAGUUGGUAAGGUAACGGCUUACCAAGGCAACGAUGCAUAGCCGACCUGAGAGGGUGAUCGGCCACACUGGAACUGAGACACGGUCCAGACUCCUACGGGAGGCAGCAGUAGGGAAUCUUCCGCAAUGGGCGAAAGCCUGACGGAGCAACGCCGCGUGAGUGAUGAAGGUCUUCGGAUCGUAAAACUCUGUUAUUAGGGAAGAACAUAUGUGUAAGUAACUGUGCACAUCUUGACGGUACCUAAUCAGAAAGCCACGGCUAACUACGUG